AUUGAACGCUGGCGGCAUGCCUUACACAUGCAAGUCGAACGGCAGCACGGGAGCAAUCCUGGUGGCGAGUGGCGAACGGGUGAGUAAAGUAUCGGAACGUGCCCAGUCGUGGGGGAUAACGUAGCGAAAGUUACGCUAAUACCGUAUACGAUCUAUGGAUGAAAGCAGGGGAUCGCAAGACCUCGCGCGAUUGGAGCGGCCGAUAUCAGAUUAGGUAGUUGGUGGGGUAAAGGCUCACCAAGCCGACGAUCUGUAGCUGGUCUGAGAGGACGACCAGCCACCCUGGGACUGAGACACGGCCCAGACUCCUGCGGGAGGCAGCAGUGGGGAAUUUUGGACAAUGGGCGAAAGCCUGAUCCAGCCAUGCCGCGUGCAGGAUGAAGGCCUUCGGGUUGUAAACUGCUUUUGUACGGAACGAAAAGGUUUGGCCUAAUAAGCUGAGCUCAUGACGGUACCGUAAGAAUAAGCACCGGCUAACUACGUGCCAGCCGCCGCAGUAA
rnacentral:rRNA from 1 species